rnacentral:rRNA from 1 species
AACGAACGCUGGCGGCAUGCCUAACACAUGCAAGUCGAACGAGACCUUCGGGUCUAGUGGCGCACGGGUGCGUAACGCGUGGUAACCUGCCCUUAGGUUCGGAAUAACUCCCCGAAAGGGGUGCUCAUACCGGAUAAUGUCUUCGGACCAAAGAUUUAUCGCCUUUGGAUGGGCCCGCGUUAGAUUCGCUGGUUGGUAGGGUAAAAGCCUACCAAGGCGACGAUGCAUAGCUGGUCGGAGAGGAUGAUCAGCCACACUGGGGCUGAGACACGGCCCAGACUCCGACGGGAGGCAGCAGUGGGGAACAUUGGACGAUGGGCGAAAGCGUGAUCCAGCCAUGCCGGGGGAGUGAGGAAGGGCUUAGGGUUCUAAAGCUCUUUUACCCGGGAUGAUAAUGACAGUACCGGGAGAAGAAGCUCCGGCUAACUCCGUG